ACUGUCAAAGGUCAUACUCGAAAGAUCAUUAGAGUAGAUUUCUGCUGGUUACUUGAUCAAGACGGUUUUGGCCGUCGGUC
rnacentral:sRNA from 1 species